UUUUGCACCUGUACUUGGGAAAGUGUUUGUCACGGUCAUUCUUUCAGUUCUUGUGCAGAGAAAAGCAGCUUUACAUUCAGCUAAAAUCAUCACAUUUGCUGCAUUACUUUUCAGUGUGUGUUCAUCCUCUAGAAAAUUGGAAAUAGAAUGAACGGAACUUACACGCACCAUACCCAUUCAGAUGACUUCAGAACGUGACUCUUGCUGGGGGUAGGAAUACUCGUCCUCCUACACGUGUGACCCCGCUGCUGACCCUUCAGCGUUUCUCCUUGCUCGCCAGUUGGCAAUUAAGAUGACAAGAGACGAGACCGGGGUCGACAUUAAAGCACGGGGAAGGUCUUUCGUGAAUCGACAAACAAACAGGGGCCCCCCGCUU